UACGUAGGGACCAAGCGUUGUUCGGAUUUACUGGGCGUAAAGGGCGCGUAGGCGGCAUGACAAGUCACUUGUGAAAUCUCCGGGCUUAACUCGGAACGGCCAAGUGAAACUGUCAAGCUAGAGUGCGGAAGGGGCAAUCGGAAUUCUCGGUGUAGCGGUGAAAUGCGUAGAUAUCGAGAGGAACACCUGCGGCGAAGGCGGGUUGCUGGGCUGACACUGACGCUGAAGCGCGAAAGCUAGGGGAGCGAACGGG
rnacentral:rRNA from 1 species